rnacentral:rRNA from 1 species
ACAGCAGUUUUACUGACGCUCAUGCUCGAAAGUGCGGGUAUCGAACAGGAUUAGAUACCCUGGUAGUCCGCACGGUAAACGAUGGAUGCCCGCUGUUUGCCAUUUGUGGUAAGCGGCCAAGCGAAAGCAUUAAGCAUCCCACCUGGGGAGUACGCCGGCAACGGUGAAACUCAAAGGAAUUGACGGGGGCCCGCACAAGCGGAGGAACAUGUGGUUUAAUUCGAUGAUACGCGAGGAACCUUACCCGGGCUUGAACUGCACAGGAAUGCGGGAGAGAUCCCAAAGCCCUUCGGGGCCUGUGUGGAGGUGCUGCAUGGUUGUCGUCAGCUCGUGCCGUGAGGUGUCGGCUUAAGUGCCAUAACGAGCGCAACCCUUCUCUUCAGUUGCCAUCACUUCGGGUGGGCACUCUGGAGACACUGCCACCGUAAGGUGUGAGGAAGGUGGGGAUGACGUCAAAUCAGCACGGCCCUUACGUCCGGGGCUACACACGUGUUACAAUGGCGCGUACAGAGGGCCGGCACUGGGCAAUCAGUGUCCAAUCCUUAAAACGCGUCUCAGUUCGGACUGGGGUCUGCAACCCGACCCCACGAAGCUGGAUUC